AUAAUGCAUAUAUGAAAAACGAAGUAAUGGAUACAUGCACAGUUUCGGAUGAAAACCGAAAUAAUGCAUAUGUGAAAGACGAAGGUAUGCAUACAUGCACAGUUCCGGUUGAAACCCGAAAUAAUGCAUAUAAC